AACAGGAUUAGAUACCCUGGUAGUCCACGCUGUAAACGAUGUCGACUUGGAGGUUGUUCCCUUGAGGAGUGGCUUCCGGAGCUAACGCGUUAAGUCGACCGCCUGGGGAGUACGGCCGCAAGGUUAAAACUCAAAUGAAUUGACGGGGGCCCGCACAAGCGGUGGAGCAUGUGGUUUAAUUCGAUGCAACGCGAAGAACCUUACCUACUCUUGACAUCCAGAGAACUUAGCAGAGAUGCUUUGGUGCCUUCGGGAACUCUGAGACAGGUGCUGCAUGGCUGUCGUCAGCUCGUGCUGUGAAAUGUUGGGUUAAGUCCCGCAACGAGCGCAACCCUUAUCCUUUGUUGCCAGCGGUCCGGCCGGGAACUCAAAGGAGACUGCCAGUGAUAAACUGGAGGAAGGUGGGGAUGACGUCAAGUCAUCAUGGCCCUUACGAGUAGGGCUACACACGUGCUACAAUGGCAUAUACAAAGAGAAGCGACCUCGCGAGAGCAAGCGGACCUCAUAAAGUAUGUCGUAGUCCGGAUUGGAGUCUGCAACUCGACUCCAUGAAGUCGGAAUCGCUAGUAAUCGUGGAUCAGAAUGCCACGGUGAAUACGUUCCCGGGCCUUGUACACACCGCCCGUCACACCAUGGGAGUGGGUUGCAAAAGAAGUAGGUAGCUUAACCUUCGGGAGGGCGCUUACCACUUUGUGAUUCAUGACUGGGGUGAAGUCGUAACAAGGUAACC
rnacentral:rRNA from 1 species